UAAUUUUAUCUUACGAAAAACAAAACAAGCGGUGACAUUUGAUAACGUGUGAAUUCUAUUGAAUUCGAUCGGUUUCCAUGUGACCUACAUUUGUGCACUCCCGAAAACCCUAUAGCCAAAAAAUUGGUUACAUGGCUAUAUUCCGUAGAAUCCAUUUAAUGUCGCAAAGUUUUAAUAGUUUAUAGUGUUAAAAAUUUCUAAUUAUUUAAUUUCUUUUUAAUUGUAUAAUAACUGUACAAACAUCAUAGGUCAUCAGCUUACAUGGCGUUUAUGCGAUUAAUCGUGUUUCAUAUACUUCGAUCUGACGUAAAAUUGACACGAACAUCCACUAAAUUCUCUCAAUUGUUUCCUUGGCAGUAUGCCAAAUGGCGGGAAACAUGUAAGAGCAAUCAACUCCAUCUAUGUAACGAGAGCGAAGUCUCCUUUUUGUUGCGUUUUUCUGCCCUCUAUCAAGAUGCGUGGCCCCGGUAUAAAUCGACAGAGUUCGAGAGCCGCAAAAAGCAUGCAUCUUAAAUAGAAUGUAUGCAGGUUGAAAUCGAGGUGACCGCGCGCCGGAUCUCAUAGUCUUGACGUUUCUUUUUUGGAAUCGACGGAUGAUGUGCCACGGGAUUAUAGCGUGCGUGUAAAACCGAGAGUCGAGAGUGACUGGUGAAGAAGAGUUUAGGGGAAUUGAACGCGAGCAAGGGAAGUGCGAAAAGGGAGGCGACGUUGGAGCGAGAAACAAGAAAAGAAGAAACGAAAUACGACGAAGGGGAACAUUGAGGAGCGGGGAAGAAAAUAGGGCGCGCACCGUAUAAUGUUGGCGCGAGAAAAAGUAUAAUGAGAGGGAAUCUCGCCGCUGUCGGCUGUUUGAAACGCAUUAAUCGUGACUCAGGAAUAAAAACAAAAAGAGGAGCGGAGAAAAAACAGACGGGUCGAUCCCUCGAAGCAUGAUGCGCACUUGUAAGGUUCUUGUUCUUACGAACAGCGCAAGGUCGUCCGCUUCAGCGUUGCGGAGCAGUGUCAUGGUGGCAACGCCAGCGCGAGGUUUCUAGGAGGCUGGAGGAGAAGAACGAGCAUUGCGCGCUAGUAGAAAACCGGACGCACACUUUUGCGCCCGUGUUGCACGGACGAGCGACCACCACUGCUGCCAUUAAUAACCGAAGGACCACGCCGCUAGACGGCAGGAUAGUGGUGGUACGGUUUACUUUCUUUGGAAUAACAAUUCUUAGAGAGUGUAUCCUCCCGUUGAUACACUUGCCCGCCUGUCAAUGGGGGCGCUACAUACCAUGGGAAAGUCUUAAGUUCUUCGAGAUCAUUUCAAGACUAUUCGAGCGAAUCGGCCGGAACCGCCCACGGAUGGGUUGGCACCCUGCCCUGCCCGUGCAUGUUCUCAUCUACACGUUUCGCAUACACGUACGCGUUACGAUCAUACCUCCCCUUGCGCGCUCGCGCAAUGAUGAAAUGACACUGGCCUAGCCUAGGAAGCGAACGGGCAAUGCUAUCGAGCUUUGGCGGCUCGUCUAGAGAAUUGAUGUUUGCUUCUUCUGUUAUUUUGUUACAAUAUAAAAAGGAAAAAAAAGUAGUUGGAACUUUUAUGAGAAUCAAAAGGCAAUGGCAUGGGUUUGAUUUAAGGAAACGGCACAUGACGCGUUAUCAGGUAAAGUGAUAUUGGCCAUGUCGAGUACAGAUUGUCGAUUCAUUUGGAUACCCGUUGCAAAUGUAUAGCGGACUCUUUUAUGCACGCCGCGUCUUCACACCCAUUACGAACGCGAAUAUCACCUUCUAUUGUAGGAGGAUGAGCUGUCGAAGCUCUACCUCUUUUUUUCUUCACGAUGGUAAAGAGAUAAUAUCGAGUACAUUUUCUACCGUGUCAUGAUAAAUAAACGUUGGCUCUUGCCUUUCGGGUUGGCAGCGUUGUUGCGGUAAGAAUGUUGUUAGGUAUUUCAUUAAAUACUAGUCCGAUUAAUUUUAAUAUGCUACGACUACAAAGAAUUAAAUAGAUUCCUUCAUAGAUUAUUCGAAAUAGUAAAACGACUAUAUUAGUCAUUUUAAUUCUGUCUAGCCUAAAAUAUUCUUACCACCAUUGUAAACACUUGAAAGUAAUCUUAUUUUUAGUAUGUAUACUGUUUUUCAACUUGCAAAACAGGUUCUCACAGGCGUAUCGUGCCGUGGAUUUAAUAUUAUAUGUGCGAUGCACAAUGCACGAGCAAACAGCGUGCACAAACGGUACAAUUGUUAAGACAUCGAGCCAAGUUCCUUCGUCACUCUGCGUCGUUAAAGCGAUGCCUGAUCGAGUCCUCUGCUGGCUCAAGAAAACGAUCCAUUGUGAACCGUCAUGCCGCAUGAUUCCAGCAAUGACAAGCUGUUAUAAGUGGAUCUACAACAGUUUACAUUAAGUUACUUGACAAGUAAACAAUGAGAAGAAGGAUGAGAAGGAAUUUAAAAGGAUAUUUCAAAGUUGAGAACAGUAAAGCGGUCUCAAGUUGCUUAAAUUCAGGUAACUUGACUAAUUUAAACGAGGCUUUACACACAAAUAAGAUAGGUAGAUAACACAGCGGCAGUUAGUCGGGAAAAAGCCCAUAUCUGGUGAGUAUCUGGUCUCAUUCGUGCCAAUAUUACGUUGCAAGCAGGUAGGGUGCCAUUUACACACGAGCCAGGUUAGCGAUACAUAUUGGCCAGUCGGUUCGGAUCCACCGCUUAGAUGCUCUCUAUGGGUAGUUACCUGAGGAAAGAUGUAUCUCCCGGUACCAGGCUAGUACAAAUCGACUGGUCUCGACACACGGAUUUUAAGCCGAACUCGAACGGAAAGAAGAAGAAGGAGAUAUAGAUAAAUAGAUAGGGAGAGAAGAAUAUAAAACGGGGAAAGGGGGAUCAUGUAAAGAGGACAAGGAGAAGAAUAGGCGAAGAAAGAGAGAAAGGGAGGAAACACGGCGCGCAAUGCGGCAGGUAGAAUCGUAUCGGCAAAUUGCAAUCGACGACCGCCUUGUCGGCAACUCCCCGUGGCAACAGGAAAGCGCUGCCGAGAAAGAGGGAAAACGAAACUGAAAAGGGAGCACGACGAGGACAGAGAGGUUAUCUACUAUCCUACAAGUGAUACGAAUAUCCGGCAUUGUUUAGGUCUUCGGGGCUAAAGAGUUAUCGGUCGUUGAUCGUUCCAGGAAUCACAGCUUGGUAUUCUCAUUGAUACCUCUUCCUUCUUCUUCUUCUUCCUCUUCUUCUGCUUUUCAUACGCGUGGGUUGAACCAAUCUGGUUGAGGCUGUUGGAUGAAGUUAGGUCAGUUUGUACACGUUACCGGAGACGCGAGCAUCUCGUUCGAACCAUAAACCCGUAACGGGUUUCCACCAAAAUAGCAACGAGCUAUUAUUUCUAGCUUACGAGCACACGAUGCGAAGACAACGGUGCUUUCAAUUUUUUUUUGAUCGUGAACGCGGGAUAUAGUUAUCCCGUGAAUCGAGAUCAGUAGAAUUUAUAGCGAUGGUGAACGAUUUCCUGUACGGUGGAAUUUUCUGCGUCCUACUUCUUCGGGUUUUGUGUAGGAAUUAUGUCACAUAUGUGACAUAUUUAUUAUACUAGUUUGACAUAUCGUCCAAUUUUUCUGCAUGUUAGUUUUCAAGACCUAAAUAAGUGGAUAUAGCUGACAUGAUAUUCAGUAUUUGCCAUUUGAUGGAUGCGGUAUUCAAGUAUUUGCGAAGAAGUGAACUGUAGAUAAUGUUCACUAAACAAAAAUACAAUUCAUAACACGAUUGUCGCCUGAAGAAAGCCUGAAAGCGUGACGUUCAUUAUUAAGCUUGAAAGCUUAAAAUCUAAUAAUUCUAACAGUAUCGAUCACUAUGAAUGACUAUCAUGAAUCGCGAAACAGCUAGACAAAUCCGUUAAAGUAAGCAAGGAGAUGUUUUCGCACGGGGUAAGCAACGAGGCGUGCGAAGAUUUGUUAAUAGUACAACUAUUUCGAGAAUCUCGGGAUCUCACGGUUGAACCUUUUAACCUCUUAUCUAUCUCGCCCGACCUCAGGCUGUUAUUUGCGAGCGCUUAAAACUCUCUGCCAGUUUAGAAGUUGAUGUUGUCUAGCGCUAGAGUUUCUUGCUUUGCCAUGCUUCGUUGUUAUUGUUACUGUCGCAUGUACAUCGGCUGUUAGGUAUAUAAACGAUACACCAACGGUAAUUCGUAUUACUGACUGUGAGAAAUCAUAACUGGGGAAUGGACGAGAGGAAGAAGGCAGCAACGCGUAAAGCCGCGCUCCGCGAUUCGUCGUGUCUCGUUCGACCUCUGAAAAAGACGUCAGGAGACGUCUGCCCCCGGGAGGCACGCACCAGCUCCAUUGCGUUUUCUUCCUUUCGCUUUUAAUCUGCAUUCAUUUCGACCUUACCUACUAGAAGGUAAUCUAAUUUCAAUCUCUUCCUUUUUGUGCUUCUCGGAUUUUCCCCGCGGCUUUGCUUUCUUCGAUCUUUCAUUUACAUUUGACCGUGUAUUUAUCGGGACAUCAAUUAGUUCCUUUUUUCAUGGUUGAGUUAAAUUCUUUUACGUUCCUUGCGUAUGUGCAACAUUGUAUUUUUAUAAGUUAUUAAUUAAUUAGACAAUUAAUGAAGCUAUUCUUUCAAGGAGAGCAGUUUUAGAAUACAAUACGCUGUAGAUCAAUCCUAUGUUUCCAAAAUCGCCUUUUUAUU